GACGAACCGUGCGAACGUUAUUCGGAAUCACUGGGCUUAAAGCGCGUGUAGGCGGGUCGGCACGUCGGGAGCUGAAAUCCCCCGGCUCAACCGGGGAAGGGGCGCCGAUACGACCGGCCUGGAGGGACGUAGGGGGGGCUGGAACUUCCGGUGGAGCGGUGAAAUGCGUUGAGAUCGGAAGGAACGCCCGUGGCGAAAGCGAGCCCCUGGACGUCUACUGACGCUGAGACGCGAAAGCCAGGGGAGCGAACGGG
rnacentral:rRNA from 1 species